rnacentral:rRNA from 1 species
AUUGAACGCUGGCGGCAUGCCUAACACAUGCAAGUCGGACGAGUGGCGGACGGGUGAGUAAUGUCUCGGAAACUGCCUGAUGGAGGGGGAUAACUACUGGAAAGGGUAGCUAAUACCGCAUACCAUCAGAUGUGCCCAGAUGGGAUUAGCUAGUUGGGGGGGUAACGGCUCACCAAGGCGACGAUCCCUAGCGGGUCUGAGAGGAUGACCAGCCACACUGGAACUGAGACACGGUCCAGACUCCUACGGGAGGCAGCAGUGGGGAAUUUUGCACAAUGGGCGCAAGCCUGAUGCAGCCAUGCCGCGUGUAUGAAGAAGGCCUUCGGGUUGUAAAGGACUUUUGUCAGGGAGGCGUUACCCGCAGAAGAAGCACCGGCUAACUACGUGCCAGCAGCCGCGGUAAUAC